rnacentral:lncRNA from 1 species
ACAAGCAAAUAUAGUAAUGAUUGUUCUGUUAAAAAAUACACCCCCAGUUUAGAAUGAAAAACAAAAUCUGUCAGCAAAUUAACUAGGAGCUUGACUCAGGCAUCUUUUUUUUUUUGUUUUUUAAAGGACAAUCACAGAAUAUCAGGAACGUUUAUUAUUGUGUUGUGGUGCUGAGCACGCUGUGAUGUGUCCUGUUAAACACACAAGUCCUGGGCUGAGUGAUGGAGGGCACCGAAGGCUCCAUGGUGCAAGCCUUACAUCUUCCAGACCGAGGGGCUCUGCGUACCUGGCAGAGCGGGGCUGGCACGGGAAGAGUGAAGGGUGUGGCUGCCAGCCUUCAAGGUGGAGCAGAGAGCCCUGGCUUAGUCUUUAAGCUCUUGUGUCGUUUCCUUCCAUGAUGUAUGGUCAACAAAACAUAGCAGCAGUGCUGGGAUGUGCUGUGAAGCCUGGCUCAAAGAUAGCAUCUGCCUUAACUUCUUGCUUGAGGUACUCACUGUGGAAGAAGCCAGCUUCCACAGUGUAAGAGAGUUCAUGCAGCCACCUUGGGGGCCUAUGUGAUGGAGAACGGAACCCUCCUGCCACCAACCGUGUGAGGAAUCAUCAUGGCUGCAUAUCCUCUGGCCCCAUGAAGCCCCCACGUGCUGCCAGCCUGUUCAAUAUCUUGACCACUGCUCCAUGAGGAACCCUGAGCCAGAACCACCCUACUGAACUUCUUCCAAGUUCCUGCCGCUCGGCGCUGUGAGAGAUGAUGAAUGGUGGGUCUCUGUUUAAACUGUUAUGUUGGAAGGUGAUUUAUUGCAUAGAAUAGAUAAGUAAUCCGAGACAUUUGGCAUGCUCCGUGGCUUUCAGCUUUGUGUUUGGGGAGGCUUCUGGGCUGGAGUUUUGCUGCCUCUGCCAGAUAGGAAACAUUAGGGUUCCUCAGACUUACUUCUUCCUUCCCUCAGACUGAAAUGCCAGUGGCAGAUGAGGAAAGAAAUCCUUGGGACUUUGCUUAUCUGACUAA